AUUAAUAACCGAUGCUUGGUUUUAAUUUAAUUGAGUUUAAUGUUAUUCUUUGAAUAAUGUUAAAAAUUUGAGAAUUCUUAAUACGAUUCUUUAAAUUCAAGCUUAAUAAUUUGAGUGUAAUUUAUUAUACUUAGAUGAUGUUACGCUAAUAGUUAAAUUCAAUAGUUAUUAAUAAGUUUUAGCAUUUAUGCUCUAACUUUUAUUAUUAUUGAGUUUUAUCAAGCUAUUAAGUUUAAAAUAUCACCGUAAAGUUAUUAUGUAAAUAAAAUUGAGUAAGUUUACUUAUUCAUUAAAU
rnacentral:misc_RNA from 1 species